rnacentral:lncRNA from 1 species
CCGAGAUCAAGGGUCACACACUCUACCGACUGAGCCAGCCAGGUACCUCUGUACUGUCAUAAACAUUUUAGAAUAAGUUCCUCCUCAAGUUCCUAAGAAUUUAACUUACAGCUUAUUUGGGGGAGAGCUGUCAUCUUUCUAACGUUGAGUCAGUGCAUCCAAACCAAGAAUUUAUCUCCCCAUUUACACUGGUUUUUAUGUCCUUUAACAGUUUCACAUUUUUUUCCCAUAAAGGUUUUACAUAAAUGUGGAGAACAUCCUUAGUAAAUUUUAGUUCUCGGGCACCUGGGUGGCUCAGUCGGUUGGAUGUCCAACCCUUGGUUUCCGCUCAGGUCAUGAUCUCAGGGUCGUGAGAUCAAGCCCGACAUUGGGCCCUACACUCGGCUUGGAGUCUGCUUGGGAUUCUCUCCCUCUGCCCCUCCCCCUGCUCGUGCUCUCUCUCUCUCCUCCUGUCUCUCAAAUGAAUACAUGAAUCUUUAAAAAAAAUAAAUGAAGUUUAGUUCCGAACACUUCAUAGAUUCUGUUAGUGUUGUGAUCGUUUGUGUUCUAUUGCUUCGAGCUCAUUAUUGCCAGUGCCAAGGAGAGCGAGUGCCAUUUGUAAGUGUUUCUUGCAUCCGGUGAAGCCCUGACUCUGCUGUUGGCUCCAGUGGUUUGCUUAUUGUCGCUGCUAGAUUUUCCUCGUACGUAAUUAUACCGUCACAUAAUUAUCUUUUCCUUUCCUGUCUUACUGCUUUUUUCAUUUUCUUAUCCUAGUGCGUUGGCCAGGACCCCACCAGUGCUGCCGUCAUGACAGUCCUGUCCUACCCCCGUCUUUGCAGGGAGCGCAUCAUGACAGGACCGAGGGGACUUUUGGAAGGAAAAUACGGCCGGGCAGGAAGAUCACGGCAGCUGUCACCGUCAAAAGCCUUCGCAAAAACAUGGCCUGUGUGUUAGAAGCGUGUGCCCGUAACCGUAAGGAGGGGAAGGCGAGGACGCCCACACGGAAGGAAAGCAGGAAUUGGGUCUGUUUUGUAUCUUUCACAGCCGUCAUCCUUUACUGAAACGGACAAGACCGUCAGACCCCGAGCCGUGGCGUCGGAGAGCAAACGUCGCCGCAAUGCUUUCACGGAGCCUCUGAGCGAACGUCACCCGGCUCUGUGCUCUGAGCGUGUCCUCCAGGCUCACUGAAGCAGGAGGUCUUGUUUUCCUCGUUUUGGAAUACGACGGAAGCUCCCCUUCCUCCCAACAGGAGUGCUUUAGACGCCGGGUGCUCACGGCAGGGGCGGCCUGGUAGGUUAGAGCUCAGGAGCCGGACUCGCUGGAGUGCAUCUCGGCUUCUCGCGCCCUUUCUCUGUGAGGACCGCCCGUCUUGGGGCUGUGGACGGAGUUCCUAGCGGUGG